UACUUGAGGGGGUUCGUUAACGGAUUUGGAAUGCCUGCUAGUCACGAACGUUUGACAUGCGAUCGUGUUGGCAGCUCGUAACUUUAAAAUCACAUUCUACUUGUUUGUUUGUUUUUUGUUUAUUUUUUUAAAAACUUUUUACGUGUGUGUGUGUUAUCUUCAUUCAGCCAAGUUUGGUGUGCACUCGCCGAGUUUCUUAGUUUGACAAUCUUUUUUUUUGUCAUACUGAAAACCGAUCUUCGGAACAACUGACUUGACAUGAUUUCUUUUACCGAAAAAAGAUUGGUUAAUAAUAUUACAAAAUCUUGACUGACAUGGAAACCAACAUGGCGAUUAACUGGGAGAACACGACGCAACUGAAUCUUGGACGGUGAUGUAUUCAUGUGGAUACAAAACCACAAUUAAGAAAAGAGAGAUUCUGUUUCCUGUGCCAUUUUACCUAUUCUCUUAUGUAGGUGGGAGGAUCAAAAAACAACCCCCACAAUAUUUGAAGUUCAGCAUCUCAAUACGCAGAGAAAAAAGACAAUAGAGAAGACGAAAGGAAUUCGGCAAAAAAGUUUGCAUAGCUCCAGGCAUCGUCUUCAACUUGGUAGUUUAAAAUGUCUAUCUUUUCUUCGGGUGUGUGAAAAUCCUAACCUAAAGAAAGGAAACGAAAACGACGCUUCCUUUCAUGCCUCCAAUAUGCACGACAAAGCUUAUGUGGUCUCAUUUUUUUUUUAGUUUAAAGAGGUAUACCAGAAAAAUUCGAACGACACGACUUGGAACAAUGGAAACCUACGUAUCUAGUUCACCUCCACCAACACUCUCUUUUCCAGACACGAACAGAUGCAAGUUUUUGGGGAACGUAUUUACCUUUUUUCUUUUUGCCUCGGCGUAUCCUCACGGGGCACAAGAAAGCCAUGACUCAGGUGGAGCAGCACAGGUAGUGGGUAGAUUAAACACUGUCAAAUUUCUUCCCAAAAUUUCAAUAUCUUUUUUGUUGCGCUAAUCACUUAUUGAAUAAUUAACACAACACAGUU